GAUGAAGAACGCAGCGAAAUGCGAUACGUAAUGUGAAUUGCAGAAUUCAGUGAAUCAUCGAAUCUUUGAACGCACCUUGCACCCUUUGGUAUUCCGAAGGGUAUGCUCGUUUGAGUGUCAUUGUACUCUCACACUUCUAAUUCCUUUCGGGAUUGGGAGCGGUGGACUUGGGUGUUGCUGCUUUAGUUGUGGCUCACCUCAAAUAAGUUAGUGCAACUCUUGGUUGGACAUAGUACGGCGUGAUAAGUGUCUUCGCCGGCGCCUCUGUAAGGAGGGUGGCCGAUCGGGAGCUCUGUGCUUCAAACCGUCUUCGGACAAUCUUUGACAACUUGACCUCAAAUCGAGUAGGACUACCCGCUGAACUUAAGCAUAUCAAUAAGCGGAGGA
rnacentral:misc_RNA from 1 species